CCCGAAACCCGGUGAUCUAGCCAUGGGCAGGUUGAAGGUUGGGUAACACUAACUGGAGGACCGAACCGACUAAUGUUGAAAAAUUAGCGGAUGACUUGUGGCUGGGGGUGAAAGGCCAAUCAAACCGGGAGAUAGCUGGUUCUCCCCGAAAGCUAUUUAGGUAGCGCCUCGUGAAUUCAUCUCCGGGGGUAGAGCACUGUUUCGGCAAGGGGGUCAUCCCGACUUACCAACCCGAUGCAAACUGCGAAUACCGGAGAAUGUUAUCACGGGAGACACACGGCGGGUGCUAACGUCCGUCGUGAAGAGGGAAACAACCCAGACCGCCAGCUAAGGUCCCA
rnacentral:rRNA from 1 species